rnacentral:rRNA from 1 species
GUGAGGAAUAUUGGACAAUGGGCGCAAGCCUGAUCCAGCCAUGCCGCGUGCAGGAAGACGCAUCUAUGGUGUGUAAACUGCUUUUGUACGGGAAGAAACACUCCCUCGUGAGGGAGCUUGACGGUACCGUAAGAAUAAGGAUCGGCUAACUCCGUGCCAGCAGCCGCGGUAAUACGGAGGAUCCAAGCGUUAUCCGGAUUUAUUGGGUUUAAAGGGUCCGUAGGCGGUUUAAUAAGUCAGUGGUGAAAGCCCAUCGCUCAACGAUGGAACGGCCAUUGAUACUGUUAGACUUGAAUUACAAGGAAGUAACUAGAAUAUGUAGUGUAGCGGUGAAAUGCUUAGAUAUUACAUGGAAUACCAAUUGCGAAGGCAGGUUACUACUUGUGGAUUGACGCUGAUGGACGAAAGCGUGGGGAGCGAACAGGAUUAGAUACCCCUGUAGUCC